rnacentral:rRNA from 1 species
UACCAGCACCCCGAGUGGUCGGGACGUUUAUUGGGCCUAAAGCAUCCGUAGCCGGUUCUACAAGUCUUCCGUUAAAUCCACCUGUUUAACAGAUGGGCUGCGGAAGAUACUAUAGAGCUAGGAGGCGGGAGAGGCAAGCGGUACUCGAUGGGUAGGGUAAAUCCGUUGAUCCAUUGAAGACCACCAGUGGCGAAGGCGGCUUGCCAGAACGCGCUCGACGGUGAGGGAUGAAAGCUGGGGGAGCAAACCGG